rnacentral:rRNA from 1 species
CCUACGGGUGGCAGCAGUGGGGAAUAUUGGGCAAUGGGCGCAAGCCUGACCCAGCAACGCCGCGUGAAGGAAGAAGGCGUUCGGGUUGUAAACUUCCUUUGACAGGGAAGAGUAGUAGACGUUACCUGUCGAAUAAGCGACGGCUAACUACGUGCCAUCAGCCGCGGUAAUACGUAGGUGGCAGGCGUUGUCCGGAUUUACUGGGUUUAAAGGGCGUGUAGGCGGGUUGACAAGUCCGUUGUGAAAUUCUGCGGCUUAACCGCAGAACUGCAGUUGAAACUGGUGAUCUUGAGUACUGGAGAGGCAGACGGAAUGCCUAGUGUAGCGGUGAAAUGCGUAGAUAUUAGGAGGAACACCAGUGGCGAAGGCGGUCUGCUGGACAGCAACUGACGGUGAGGCGCGAAAGCGUGGGGAGCAAACAGGAUUAGAUACCCCGGUAGUC